UACGAAGGGGGCUAGCGUUGCUCGGAAUCACUGGGCGUAAAGGGCGCGUAGGCGGCCGAUUAAGUCGGGGGUGAAAGCCUGUGGCUCAACCACAGAAUUGCCUUCGAUACUGGUUGGCUUGAGACCGGAAGAGGACAGCGGAACUGCGAGUGUAGAGGUGAAAUUCGUAGAUAUUCGCAAGAACACCAGUGGCGAAGGCGGCUGUCUGGUCCGGUUCUGACGCUGAGGCGCGAAAGCGUGGGGAGUAAACAGGAUUAGAUACCCUGGUAGUCCACGCCGUAAACGAUGAAUGCCAGCCGUUGGCCUGCUUGCAGGUCAGUGGCGCCGCUAACGCAUUAAGCAUUCCGCCUGGGGAGUACGG
rnacentral:rRNA from 1 species